rnacentral:tRNA from 1 species
GGCCGGCUGGCCAAAUGGUUAAGGUGUCGGUUUCCGGUUGGAGGUAGCCGAAGAUUCUGGGUUCGAGUCCCAGGUUGGUCG